rnacentral:lncRNA from 1 species
CGCUCUCACGUACGCCCUUUCCGUACCUGAGGGAGCCUUUUGUACGCCAUCUCCGUGGCCUCCGUGCGGCCUUCCCGCGACUCCUGGAGCCGGGGCCUUGAAGAGCAGCCGCACGGGACCUUCUAAAACGUUAUGGAUAGUAUCUUCCAAAACUCCUAGACAAGCUGGAGACCAGCUGGACAAAGCGCUGUCACGGGAGCACCUGGAACUAAAUCAGAAGCUGCCAUACGAACACAGUCAAAUCUAAUGGCCUAGAGCUGCUAGCUGGAUGACCUAUCGUGUGACUGCAGCAGGGGUCAUGACUUUGGGAGAAGCAUCCCAAAUCUGCGCUGGUAUGAAAGUAUCUUGCAGAGGCUGGAGAGGCAGGGGCUUGGAGACCAAACAGACAACUGCCUAGGGCACCUUCUGCAAGGCAAAGGAGAGCACUCAUACAUCUGGCAGCACCCUGUGCACCUGCCUCUACUACAAGUGGCUUCUGGAUGUUUGCCACCACCUUGCAGGCAGGACUCUCAGUCCUGCAUGACGGACUGAGCUACAAUAAUAGACUGAUAAAAGUCAAAAGAGACGGAGGGGAUGGAAUCACGAGAGCAGAUCACAGUGCUGGAACAGGCCCCGGAGCAGGCAGCAUGGGCCGUAUUCCAGCAAUCUCUUCAGGGCUGGACUGGAAAAGAAGCAACUCUACAGCCAAUGGUGUGGCCAGAACCUUCCAACUCCUGUGACAAGACAGCCUUGCAAGACUCUUGGUGAGAAAUUUGGAACCGUUGAGGUAAAAGGAUGAUGUUCAGGGAUGAGUUGCUGUGUGAAAUGCAUAGCAACUUUGGUCAGAACACCUGGACUGCCAGGACAGGAAGGAUGAUAAAUGCUGAAAGGGAGGAGAUGAUUAUCAAGUAGUAUCUUGAGCACAACUAAGUUGGGGAGGGAGCAAAACCAAGAGCACUUUGAAUAACUGCUCAUCCUGAUGGCCACCAGACUGCAGUGUUCAGUUCCAGCAUUUAUAGCCUCUCCUCCACACCAUCAUGUCCUGCAGCCAUUGUGUACAUUAGGGUUUGGGUGGACUGUGAAUCACUCUAUGAACUAGAAUAGGCAGAUCUUUCCCAUGUAUUCUGCCCUGUGCAUCCCAUACAGCUGGAAAUAAAGACAGCCAGCGCAUUUCUGCCA